GGCGUGUACUGCUUGGCUGGGCCUUACUUCUUGGUGAGCCGGCGUGCCCUUUAUUGGUGUGCGUCGGGGAACCAGGACUUUUACCUUGAGAAAAUUAGAGUGUUCAAAGCAGGCCUAUGCCUGAAUACAUUAGCAUGGAAUAAUAGAAUAGGACGUGCGGUUCUAUUUUGUUGGUUUCUAGAGUCGCCGUAAUGAUUAAUAGGGACAGUUGGGGGCAUUGGUAUUGAGUCGCUAGAGGUGAAAUUCUUGGAUUGACUCAAGACCGACUAUUGCGAAAGCAUUUGCCAAGGAUGUUUUCAUUAAUCAAGAACGAAGGUUAGGGGAUCGAAAACGAUCAGAUACCGUUGUAGUCUUAACAGUAAACUAUGCCGACUAGGGAUCGGAUGACCUCAAAAUUGAUGUGUCAUUCGGCACCUUACGGGAAAUCAAAGUCUUUGGGUUCUGGGGGGAGUAUGGUCGCAAGGCUGAAACUUAAAGGAAUUGGCGGAAGGGCACCACCAGGUGUGGAGCCUGCGGCUUAAUUUGACUCAACACGGGGAAACUCACCAGGUCCAGACAUAACUAGGAUUGACAGAUUGAUAGCUCUUUCAUGAUUUUAUGGGUGGUGGUGCAUGGCCGUUCUUAGUUGGUGGAGUGAUUUGUCUGGUUAAUUCCGAUAACGAACGAGACCUUAACCUGCUAAAUAGCCAGGCCGGCUUCGGCUGGUCUCUGGCUUCUUAGAGGGACUGUCAG
rnacentral:rRNA from 1 species